rnacentral:SRP_RNA from 1 species
GCUGGGCAUGGUGUUGCAUGCCUGUAGUCCCAGCUACUCAGGAGGCUGAGGCAGUAGAAUUGCUUGAACCCAGGAGGUGGAGGUUGCAGUGAGCUGAGAUCGUGCCAUUGCACUCCAGCCUGGGUGACAGAGCAAGACUCUGUCUCAA